GUCCACGCCCUAAACGAUGUCAACUAGUUGUUGGGCUUUUCGGAGCUUAGUAACGCAGCUAACGCGUGAAGUUGACCGCCUGGGGAGUACGGUCGCAAGACUAAAACUCAAAGGAAUUGACGGGGGCCCGCACAAGCGGUGGAUGAUGUGGAUUAAUUCGAUGCAACGCGAAAAACCUUACCUGGUCUUGACAUGUACGGAAUCCUUGAGAGAUCGAGGAGUGCCUUCGGGAACCGUAACACAGGUGCUGCAUGGCUGUCGU
rnacentral:rRNA from 1 species